rnacentral:rRNA from 1 species
ACUCCUACGGGAGGCAGCAGUGAGGAAUCUUCCACAAUGGGCGAAAGCCUGAUGGAGUAACACCGCGUGCAGGAUGAAGGCUUUCGGGUCGUAAACUGCUUUUAUAUGUGACGAAUAUGACGGUAACAAAUGAAUAAGGAUCGGCUAACUACGUGCCAGCAGCCGCGGUAAU